rfam:Salmo salar isolate Sally breed double haploid chromosome ssa18, whole genome shotgun sequence.
UGCACACUUGACUGUAAGUCGCUUUGGAUAAAAGAGUCUGCUAAAUGGCAUAUU